rnacentral:rRNA from 1 species
UUGGAGGGCAAGUCUGGUGCCAGCAGCCGCGGUAAUUCCAGCUCCAAUAGCGUAUAUUAAAGUUGUUGCAGUUAAAAAGCCCGUAGUUGAACUUCGGGGUCUACCCAUUGGUCAGGCUUAAUUGUCUGUACUGGUGAGAUGGAUCUCUACCUUCUGAGGAACUUUUAUGCCAUUUAUUUGGUGUGAUUGGAAAUCGGAACUGUUACUUUGAAAAAAUUAGAGUGUUUAAAGCAGGC